GAAUAUUGGACAAUGGGCGAAAGCCUGAUCCAGCCAUGCCGCGUGUGUGAAGAAGGUCUUCGGAUUGUAAAGCACUUUACGUUGGGAGGCAGGGCAGUAAGCGAAUACCUUGCUGUUUUGACGUUACCGACAGAAUAAGCACCGGCUAACUCCGUGCCAGCCGCCCAGGUAAUCCAGAGGGUGCAAGCGUUAAUCGGAAUUACUGGGCGUAAAGCGCGCGUAGGUGGUUAGUUAAGUUGGAUGUGAAAGCCCCGGGCUCAACCUGGGAACUGCAUCCAAAACUGGCGAGCUAGAGUAUGGCAGAGGGUGGUGGAAUUUCCUGUGUAGCGGUGAAAUGCGUAGAUAUAGGAAGGAACACCAGUGGCGAAGGCGACCACCUGGGCUCAUACUGACACUGAGGUGCGAAAGCGUGGGGAGCAAACAG
rnacentral:rRNA from 1 species